rnacentral:miRNA from 1 species
UGAGGAAGAGAAGGCUUGGACU